rnacentral:misc_RNA from 1 species
GAAAUGCGAUAAGUAAUGUGAAUUGCAGAAUUCAGUGAAUCAUCGAAUCAUUGAACGCACAUUGCGCUCGCCAGCUAUUCUGGCGGGCAUGCCUGUCCGAGCGUCAUUUCAACCAUCAAGCCCCAUGGCUUGUGUUGGGGAACUACGCGCUGCUGAGUAGGCCCUGAAAAGCAGUGGCGGGCUCGUCGAACCACCGAGCGUAGUAGCAUCAUUUCUCGCUCAGGGACGUGGUUCGGGUCCCGGCCGUAAAAAGAUGAUUUAACCCAAGGUUGACCUCGGAUCAGGUAGGAAUACCCACUGAACUUAA